GUUUCGAUUACACAGUAAGUCGUCCAAUACUUCCUGUUUAACAUUUAUUAUUUCAUUUAAUGUGACGGAAUCGUAUACCUGAUGAAAGAACAUCUAUCUGGAAUGUUGGAUAAAAGAACACUUAAUAUGUUAUCAAUGUUACUUAUCCACACAACAGUUAUGUUGGCAGUUACUGCACAACGUGAGUCAUUUAAAGCAGAGGACAACCUUACACCGUUUGGAAUUGCUACGCAGGGUCCGAUAUCAGGGGUUAACGGUAAACCAGAAAAUGCUAUACAGCCACCUAUAGGAAAUAAAUAUAAUCUGUCUAUAUGUACACAGAGUUGGUCAACUCAUUCUGAAAUACCAGCAUGGUGGAGAUUCGAUUUUUUUUUCGACACAGCAUACAUUACGGAUAUAGCAAUAUACUACAGAGAAAACUAUGCUAGUAGAAUGAAUGGAUUUCGAUUAUAUGUGACCAACACAUCAACCAUUUCAACUGAAGGUUAUCUUUGUUAUGCAGAUCCUUUUCCUGCUCCUUAUCCAAAUAUCACUCAGACUAUUACUUGUAAUCAACUUGGGCGUUAUAUCAUUUAUUACGAUAAUGAAGGAUCCAAAGAAGAAACGAUUGUCAAAGGGGGCAUUGUUGAAUUAUGUUAUGUUGCCAUUAAUGGCUGCCUUAAAGGUGCAUGGGGAAUAAACUGUUCAAAUGCAUGCCCACCUAAAUGUAUAGACCAACACUGUUAUCCUGAAAACGGUUCCUGUGUUUGGGGAUGUGAUCCUCAGAACUGUUUAAAUAACAAAUGCGACAAAGACACUGGUGCUUGUAGUGAAGGAUGCGUAACUGGAUGGGACGGACAUUUCUGUUACUCGAGUAAGUCUUGGUUAUAUGUUAGCAUUUUUGUUGUUAAUGAUUAUGGGCAACAGUUUACUGAUGUUCAGAUCUCAUAAGUACAUUAGUGAGAUACAAAUCAGGAAAAAAACAAAAUAUGGGGUAAUCUCCGGAACUCCAAAAGCAGUGAGAUCGUGUGUCUUAACUGCACAAGUGUGUGGUUUUUUUUUUGCCAUGCAUACGCUACCCGCCGUACAAUUACACUAAUAAUAUCUAAAACCGCGAAAAAAUGUAGCUAGUUUUUUUAGACAAAGACAUAUCGUAUCGUUAAAGCCAUUAUAAGACUUUGCCUACAACAAAUAUUCUUUUCUAAGAAAUGGGCAAUAUAUGUAAAAACAUAUUAAUUCCAAUACUUGGAUUGAAACACACUAUGGUUUCUUUGAGGAGGCAAUGACAAUCUGUUCUAAAUAAACAUUAAAAAACAUAUCUACUUGUAUGUAGAUUGAUAAUAUUCAGACUUCAUUUUGUUUUUAAUUAGGGUCAAUGUAUACUCACACGUACAUAGAUAGCAUGGAUAGUAUAAUAGUGUACCUAAAUGUAAGGGUAAAAUAACCAAAUGUAUCUUGAGCUAUUAUUCUAUAUUUAAUCAUAAUUUUAGAUUAGUUAGUACCUCAUAAUACAUAUACAUAUUUUAAUGUCAGGCCUAUUUAAAUCUCCAAGUACCAACGAAGUCGAGUACUCAGCAGUUGACCUUUGCAAAACAUUGAAAGAGCUAUCAGUUGCAAAUUAAAUAUUUUUUAUCACAGAAAACGAUUUGAUUUAGAGAACAUGCUGUCAAAAAGCUUAUCUGCUAUGGAGAUUUUAAGUGUCGCUUUAUUUUUGAUAUUUACUAUAACUGACAUUAUGUUGCUAUACCAUUUAAAGCUUUAAAUGUACAUAAUAUAAUGUACAUAUAUUCACAUUGAUGUGUUUGCGUUUCUAAUCGUUUGUAUAUGUGCUAUGUGUUUGGGUUUUAGUCUUAAUUAAACUUUUGCGUACCUUAAGAUAUAUUGUUUUCCUUUCUCAUCUCUUUAUUUGCGUUUAUUUUAAUUUUAGAUUCUUACCUUAAUUAAAAUAAUUGUAAAGGGGAAUACAAUGUUCAGCUGUAUUCUAGGUAUAUUUAACUAUUCAUUGAAAUUUGAUGAACCUGUAAUAGAUGGAAAAUGUUUAAAAUAUGUUUAAAUAAAAAGUUCAUACUAUUCUUUGUAAUGAUAUGUACUUAAACUAGAUAUUGUUUUUAUAGUUGAUAAAAAAGAAAAAAACAGCCUUAAACAGUGCAUUCCAUUUUAUUGAGCUCAGAAAUAUAUUGUACAUGUAUAUAAACAUCAUGUUUUAGCAAUUUCAUAAUUUCACAGAAAUCACUUCAUAAUGUAAUAAUGUAAGAGUAACAUUUUGUUUUCUGUAUGUAUGUUUGUUUUUUUGUUUUUUUUUUAUUAUUAUUUUUAUUAUUAUUAACGCUAAUUUUGUCUUUUCUGCCAUAAAAUACCAGCCAAUUCGUCCAAGAUAAUCUAGAUUAAAAUGGAACAGUCGUCUAAUGGCAGUAAUCCCUCAGAUUGAAAUAGGAGAUAUGGUUUAUGGUCCAUAACAACAAGUUCACACAGUGUUAUAUGUUUUACUGCAGUUUUAGGUGGAAGAAAGGUCCAAAUAUUUCCAAGAAACUAAGCAUUUAACAAGGAACCAAUUAAAACCACAAGUGGAAGGAUGGGCAAUACAAUGGAAAAAAAAAGUACACUGAAAAUCUGGUCUCACACAUUUUCACCUGAAGCAUUAAUGAAGCUAUAUGUUAUUCAUGGUAAUGUGUAUCUAAAAUAUAACAAGUGGUAUCAUUUAUUGAACAUGGUUAAUUGAUGAUAGAUCGAUUGAAAGUUCUUUGCCUAAUCUUUAGUAGAGACUAUUGCAUGUGUAUUGAAGACGAGAUCAAAUAGGAAUAAAAUAACAAGGAGGCAGUCUCAAACCAUAGUCGAAGAAAACAGAUGACAGCAUGACCAAGGCGAAAAAGUAAGUCAGACAAACAAAACAUCUUAAAACACUAUACCGAAAUGUGCGAACACUACAUAAACCAGUAUGGUGAUUACAGUUGCUCAGGAAGGAUAUUCAAUCUAACUUAAUCUGAACUAUUAAUUUUCAGUCAUAUUUAAUAAAACAACUAAUACAGUAUAUAAUAAUGGUCUAACAUUUAAAGGAAUUAACCAGAUUUGAUAUUGAAAAGCGCAUGGCACAAACAGUUUUCAUUCGAACAUUGAACGACAAUAAACUUCGUCACAUGUCUUUCCACAUCGGAAAACUAAUUUUUUACCAAAUAUACCUUUUUUUGUUCUUUAAAGUUCUUCUAUUGCCCUUUUUUUUAAAUAUGGUUGAUCAUUAUCUGCCGAUAUUGGCAAUAUUAUCUAGCCAAUAAAAGCAAAAUGAUCCCCAUUUGCAGAUGGUGUUUUUUUGGGCAACUGCAAAAGAUUCAUUAGAAGGCUGCAUCUUGACCUAUAUCAUAUAAAUUGCAGUUUAAAAUGAUGAAAAAAUUCCUUUGGCCUAUAAACGAUAAAUCUAUUCUAUUUUUGACAUACAAGUAUGAAAACUUAAGAAAACAUUUAGAUUGUAUUGAAGUUUUUUUUUAAGAAAUGCAAUUUUCUGUAAAUUAGCGCGAUCAACACUUAAGGUUGCAUUUGAUUUGGACUUAUGGUAACUUGUUUUAUAAGGUUCAGAUAUUUUUUAGAAAAAAAUAUUCCAUACAAUUAACAGAAAAUGGCAUUUUGUUUAAUUCUGUCAAAAUUUAGGAAUGUUCAAUUUUAACCUUUGACCUUGAUUUAACGAAAAUUGCACCGUACGAUUUAUUGACGACCGGGCAAAACAGAAAGUACAGGUAAUUAGCUUUCAAAUGAUAUAUGAUAUAGCCGUAUGUUAGGAGGGUGCAUUACAGUUGUUAAAUAGGCGUCAUUUUGAAAAAAUGUCACUCGCCUAUAAAUAAAGGACCAAAAUUAACAAUCUCAAAUUUGUUUUGUUUGUUAAAAUUAUAUAUCUUUAGACGAAUAGAUGUAAUCUUUCAUUAUGUUGAAGCAAAUCGAAUCAUAGUAGUUACUGUAAAGCUUAUUCAAUAUUUUGAAAAUUCCAAUUUUCUUUAAAAAAUAAAACCAAAAGAAACACGAAAAUUCCUGUUUUUCAUUUUUUUAAAGAGUACAAUAUAUAUGCAUGUGUAAAUAGGUAUUGCAUUGAAUUUCAUACUUAAUCAAACCCAGAAUGCCAAAUUAUUACCUUUGACUCAUUAAUAAAACAAACUGAUUAAUUACUAUAAUUAGCAUUAGUAUAAAUCAUUAUAAUUAUCUUUUGU